rnacentral:tRNA from 1 species
GGUUGUGGCUCAGCAGUAGAGCACUGGCCCAGCAAGUGUGAGGCACUUGGUUCGAUCCCCAGGACCA